GUCCUUUGGAGGAACAGACCAUAGCUUUGUAAGUUUUAAUCUCCUGUGCCCAGCUCAGUGCAUGGCAGAAGGCAAUUGCCUGGUCUGUGGUGGAGGUGCUGGUUAUUUUUGGUGUAGAUGUUACCUUUAUCAUGGUAGGGAUGGGAGGCUCAGCCUGACCAAAACACCGGGCAGGGUACAGGAUGGCUGGGAAGCUGCUGAUAAGGCUCUGCCAGCAUUACAGCCCCAGCCCUGGUGAUCACCGUGAUCCCUGAUCGCCGUCGCACUGGCUGGUUCUGGGGGUCUGGGCGCUGGUCAUGCCGGUCGCGCCGGGUCUGGCCACCGGGUGGCACCCACGCUCCACAAAUGCUGCCACCGCGCUGGGCUCGGUCUCCGCUAGGCUCUGCUUGGGAACCAGGGGAGGCAGGGGCUGCAGGAGGUCCAGCGCUGCCCUAGUCCCAGCCCCUGGCUCUCUGAGCCAUGAGUUGACAUUCGUCCCCACUAGGCCUUCUUCCUCAAGCCUUUGUGUUUAUUCUGUUCCCUGCAGACCGAGUGAUGCCCCUUCUCCCAGGCGGCCUGUCUGCCCAUCAGGAGGCCCAGCGCGGCCAGACAGUGAGCCACGAGCACCCUCAGCCCUGGAGCCCGCCCAGUGGUGUUUACAGGAGGCCGGGUCUGGGAACACCUGUUGUCCAGGCAGCCUCCUGCUGUCCUGCCUCCCUACACCCAGCUCACCAUCAGAAAUGCCAUGUUUCUGCCUGUCCUCGUUAUGGCCAGCACUAACUGGCUUUUGCCCCCCGAGUAACACAUCAACUACAAGAAACAGAGCUGCAGGUCUGGAGAGUGUUACCUGGAUGCCCCGAAGUCCUCUGAUCUGCACUCAGAGUUUCCUCUCAGCGCUCACUCUUGCUCUGAGAAGGCUGCUCCUGGUGAGCCUCGCUGGGAGGGAGCCCCAGGAGGAAGGAGAGCCAGUAGCAUCGACUCUUUUACUCUCCAUGGACACCUUUUCGGGGAGGGUUUAUCAACCCCAUUUAACAGGUGAGGAAGCUGAGGCCCAGAGCCCUUUACUAACUUCCCCAGAGUGACAAGGCCUCAGUGGCAGAGGUGAGAUUCGAACACGCGCCUGGUCCAAACUGCAAUGGACCCACCAGAUAAGAAAGCCAACAAGUGCCUUUUAUUGAAGACUAUGGGGGCAGGUUCUGCGCUCUAUACUGCUUUAUGCAUAUUAACCAUUUACUUUCUGUGAACCCCCACGAACCUCCAUGGGAGCACGGUCUUGGCCUUAUUUGGCGAUGAGCUGAACAAGCCAGGCCACUAGAGGGAAGGUGGCUGGUGUGAGGUCACUGGGCCACCAGACACCUCCUUCAUGUCUCACUCACAGUCCUGCCUCUUCUGGGCCUCUUCCUCCUCUGCCUGGUGUCUCUUCACUCGUGAAAGGCCGAGCAGUGUUCGUGCUGCAGUGUAGUGCAGCUAAGUAUCUGUCCCAGUAGAAACGACACAGGCGAGCCUGCAGCCCAUCACCCAGACUCUGCCAGGGGCUCUCUGUGGACUCUGAGACUCACACUCUGGAAGUCUUGGUCACUGAGCCACGUGGCCAUGGUCAGAUGGACAGUAUACACCCCUUCCCAUCUCCUGGUAGCUCUAGAAGCUCUAGUUGCAUAGAAUUUUCCUUCAGAGAGGCUGCGUCUCCAGUGUUCUGGUGUUUGGGAGCACAUCCACAUUACUUUCCUAGAUUCCAGCAAUGCCUCCUGGCUGGCCUCCUACAGCCUCUCUUGCCGCCCUCCAGCCCACUCUCUGCGCAAUAGGAUGAUCAUCAAAAAGUACGAAGCUUGGGGGAUCCCUGGGUCACUCAGCAGUUUAACCCCUGCCUAUGGCCCAGGGCAUGAUCCUGGAAUCCUGGGAUCGAGUUCCACAUUGGGCUCCCAAUGAGGAGCCUGCUUCUCCCUCUGCCUGUGUCUCUGCCUCUCUCUCUCUCUCUGUAUCUCUCAUGAAUAAAUAAAAUCUUAAAAAAAAAAGUGCGAAGCUGACCAUGUUGCUCAUUCCCUGAAAAUACUUUCGUGACUUCCCUUGCUCUUGAGAUAAUGGCCCCGAUCUGUACCUUGACCACCGCUCUGCACUGCCUGUCUGCCCUCACUGUGCUUCAGCCACACUGAUCUUUCAGCUUCUGGGUUUGUUCCUUUCCACUUCAAGACCUUUGCUAUUGGUAGCCCUUUAUUCUAAAAUAGUCUUGGGGUACCUGGGUGCCUCAGUCAGUUAAGUGUCCAACCCUUGAUCUCAGCUCAAGUCUUGAUCUCAGUGUUGUGAGUUCAAGCCCCACAUUGGCCUCUACACUGGGCAUGGAGCCUACUUUAAAAAAAAAUAAGUACAGACUGAGGUCACAGUGGAAGUGGUGGAUGUCCUCUUUUACUCCCCCAGAAAUGUAGUCUUAACCAGUCAGUUGGGAAUUUUUUUAAGGGAGGCCUGGGUGGUGCAGUUGUUUGAGCACCCAACUUUUGGUUUCUGCUCAGGUUCUGAUCUCAGAGUCGUGAGAUUGAGCCCCUUGUUGGGCUCCACACUCAGCACGGAGUCUGCUUGAGAUUCUCUCUCUCUCUCUCUCUCUUGAUCUCUCUCAAAUAAAUAACUCUUAAAAAAAUAUUCUCUUUGCUAUGCCAGGCUCACUUCUCAGCUUCUAAAUUUUGGCUAAAAUGUCUCUUCCUCAGGGGACCACCCCUAACUCCUGCAGAGCUACACCACUUCCUUAGUAGCUCCUUGCACUUGGCUUUCAUAACACUUAACUUCAUUUGUCAUCACAUCGUUAUUAGUGUCAGCAGUGUCUUAGUGUUGAUCCUUCAUUGACAUACAAGCUCCCUCAUGGGGCAGGAAUCUCUUUGUCCUGUACUUUCAGCAUCCAGCAUCAUGCCAGAGGCAUAGAAGAUCUUUACCAGAUAUUUGUUGAUUAAAAGUUGGAUGUUGGGGCUCCUGCAUGGCUCAGUUGGUUAAGUGUCUGCCUCCUACUCAGGUCAUGAUCUCAGGGUCCUAGGAUCAAGCCCCACAUUGGGCUCCCUGCUCAGCAUGGAGCCUGCUUCUCCCUUUCCUUCUGUCCCUCUCCCCCCACCACUAAUGUGCUCUCUCUCCCUCUCUCUCUCCCCCCAUCUCAAAUAAAUAAAUAAAAUCUUAAAAAAAAAAAAGCUGAAUGUUAAGGAUUGGUCUACUCAUACUUUGGGAGCUAUUUCUUGCAGACACUUGAAUUUUCCAAGGCUGAUUUUGCAGCUCUUCCUGAAAACUUUUCUGCAUCCAAAUGAAGUUGUCCUUAUACUCUGAACAUCAAGGAUUGCUGGAAACAUACAACUGGAAAGAAUUUCUGCUUGUAAUUAAAUUGUAGCUAAUGAAAUAAGUGACAUGUUGAUCUGUCUCGCUGCUCACAUAUCUGGGACUCUGGGUUGCAUACUAAUUUCUCGUCUAAAUCAAUUAAAGUCCGAUGGAAAAAAAUUCACCCCCUUUAGAGACCCUUGGAGGAUAGUGGUCCCCUUGCAAAGAGAUUGGAAAGGACAGAAAGCAGGGAAGCUGUGGGUCCCAUAGCUUUGCUUUCACCCAAUCAUGGCUGAAGGAGAAGCAGAUGAAUAAACUCUGGGUUCUGAAACCUUAAUCAUUUAGAUUGUAGAAAUGUAUCUCACGAUCCACUGUGAAUCUUCUUAGCCCUAGGAGAGGCAAAUAACAAGAAAACAACUGAAUUUCAGGGCUUCGGUCCAAACCCCAAUCAGUGUCUCUGAGCUGUCUCUUGGUUCAUACAGCGCCAGGGCAGCUUUCUUCUCCUGUAGCUACUGUAUCAGUAGGGGAGAACUGAUGUUGAUAAUGAGGACCUAGAGGCCUCAUGGCAUCUUCAGACACCUGGGAACGGCUUGAUUGCGUGCAGAAGGCUCUUACCCAUUAAGGCAGGGAAGUAAAAUCUGUAUCAAGAUUCAUGAAAAUUUCACAUUCUUGCUAAUUGCUGUAUAAGUCAUUCAAGAAAUCAGUGUUCAGUUUAUACAGAGAACCCGGACACACUUGUCCUGGAAGCCGGCACCUGCUGAAGAAAGUAGUCAGUGCUCUAGACACGGCAUCACUAUGGGUUUGAAGGUUCCGUAAUUAAACCGUAUGUGUGUGUCUCUUGUGAUAGCUGGGCUUUGUGGGGUCACAUCCUGAUAGGAUUAGUCAACUUAAUCUAUAGGAAAAGUUCCCGUCCAUAGAGUGAGAUAUUCUCACUGUCAGUCAUCCAUGGAAGAUGCAGGAAAGUAAAGAGCAUUACACAGAAGAGAUAGAGAACUCCUGUCUCUCUUGGGGCCUCCCUGGAUUCUGCUUUUAGUUCCUUAUGAUGUCUAGACUUCUCUGCCAGUACUUGCCACGUGCCAGGCUUUGGCUCAAGUUUCUUUGUACAGUACUUUCUAUAAAACUCUCACCCUAAAGUGGAAGGAGUUCUCUCCAGUUUUACAGAAGGCAGACAGAGACUCCGAGAUUAAGGGUCAUAGCUGCUAAGUAAGGGAUGGCCUUGGGAUUCCAAACACUAUGUCUUAUUUUUUAUUUUUAUUUUUUAAAAGAUAUUAUAUAUUUACUCAUGAGAGACAGAGAGAGAGAGAGGCAGAGACAGACAGAGGGAGAAGCAGGCUCCCCGAGGGGAGCCCGUUAUGGGACUCCAUCCCAAGACCUCGGGAUCACGACUUGAGCCAAAGGCAGAUACUCAACCACUGAGCCACCCAGGUGUCCCAAAGCAAGGUGUUUUAAAACACAGUCUGCUUUUACCCAUGGAGCUAUUGUGCAUUCUGUGUAGUAGGUUGGAAGCAGUGAUGUGCUGGUACCUGUUUAGCAAGCAGCUCUCAGAAUUAAAUGAAUAAACUAUGCCCUGAUUUUUGCCAAUUUCUUUUUUUUUUAUUUUUUAUUUAUUUUUUUAUUUAUUUAUGAUAGUCACACACACAGAGAGAGAGAGAGAGACAGAGACAUAGGCAGAGGGAGAAGCAGGCUCCAUGCACCGGGAGCCUGACGUGGGACUCGAUCCCGGGUCUCCAGGAUCGCGCCCUGGGCCAAAGGCAGGCACCAAACCACUGCGCCACCCAGGGAUCCCUGAUUUUUGCCAAUUUCUAUGGUGUAAAUAUUCCCACCGUGGUCAAUCUCAAGCUACCAACAUGAAGACACUCACCGAACAGGAGCUGGGAAGAGAUGCACACAGAUGCUCACAGCGACCUGCUUCAGUACACCUCUGGAAUGAAGCCACCCACGCCUAGAAACAAGCUAAAACUUCUAUGGCGGCAGGGUGAGGCGCUGCAAGCUCCGGAGAAUGAAGGCCGUUACUGAGCUGAGUGAGACUUUGGGAGUUAGUUUCUGUAGCUACAUGUUGCUUUCUUCCUUGUUUUCUACUAGCCUUUCCUGAAGCCUUGAAUGAAUGCCUCUCCUGGCUCAGCUCCACCACAGGGGAUUUAGGAAAGGGGUGAAGACCUUUCUGGCUCACCCCUACCAGUCUCCAGUGGUGUGGGCAGAGAUUCUUUGUGAAACAGCCCCAAAGGCUCAGGGAAUCUUGGGGGUUGUAAGGGCUAUGGAUGCUCUUCCUUUCUCAUUCCAUUUAGUUAUUUAAGAGAGGUG
rnacentral:lncRNA from 1 species